rnacentral:lncRNA from 1 species
CAGUCAUGAUGGCCUGCACUCCACACAAUGCAACAGAGUGAAAGAGCAGGUUCUGCUUCUUUGGUGUAGUCCUGAAGCUUCCUAAGAAACUUCACAUCAGGUGAUGGAUAGGAGCAACCCUGUAAAACCAGCCUUAGACUAUUUUUCAAACAGGCUGGUGAAUUACCAUAUCUCCGUCAAGUGCAGUAACCAGUUCAAGUUGGAAGUGUGUCUUUUGAAAUCAGACAACAAAGUCGUGGACAACCAGGCUGGGACCCAGGGCCAGCUGAAGGUGCUGGGUGCCAACCUCUGGUGGCCGUACCUGAUGCACGAACACCCCGCCUACCUGUACU